UGAGAAAGUUAAACAUCUGAAAGGUACCUUAAGCUCUGAUUGGGCUAGUCAGCUGGUUCAACCGGUUUAGGCGCUUGUGCAGGUCGGGCAACCUUCCAUCCUUGAAACCCAUGGAAAGGUGGAAGAGAACAGACUUCACCGGGUACACAUACAUCAAGUACAAAUAAAGAAUGAAAAAGAAAUAAAAGAGAAAGGAUAUGACUACCCCUAGCCAGGGCUACACAGAGAAUUCCUGACUCGGAAAACAAAACAAAACGAAACGAAACACCCAAAAUCUGGGCUGAAGAUAAGAAUCACCAGUUAAGAGCACCAGCUACUGUUUCAGAGGGCAGAGGGGUUGAUGCCCAGAGUCUACAGCACUUCUGUCUAUGACUACAACUCCUGGAGAAUUCCGAGCCCUCUUCUAGGGGCAUUGAAUGCACAGGGUGCACAGACAUAUCCACAGCAAUUUGACACCCAUAAAAGCAAAAAUAAAAUAAAAAAUAAAUAAUUUUGA